rnacentral:piRNA from 1 species
UAUCAUCAUAUAUGGCUGAAU